ensembl:lncRNA
GAUAGGAAAAUUUUUAAAAUGGAUCGUAUAUGAGUUGUAAUCGAUACAAAGUUGCUCAUUAUAAUAAAUCAUCUGUAUUCUGAAUUUUUGUCAAUUCCGUGGCAAUUUUUAUCUAGAGUUUAUUAUGUUUACUGAGUGGCAAUGAGUUUUGCAUUCUGUGGGGAACUGUAACUGUAUGGGUUAAAAAGCUUGGUUUAUAACUUUGCAUAAAGCGCCCUUCACAGCCUGUGGCUGGCAGGCACUCUGAGUCCCCUUGGGUGUGGCUCUUCCUACCUCCUCUUUUGCCCAUUUCCUGUCCUCACUUCUUGUCUCACUGCCUCUCUGUUACAGAACUCUACCAGGAAGGACCGAGCUCAGCCCUAUGGAAGUUCUGAGACAAACUGAAAGCAAGCUCUGCCACUCGCUGUAGCAGUAAAAUGGGACCCCAGAUCCACCACGAUGUGCCUAGGAAGUGAAAUGACAGUGCCUUUAACUCUUCAAUGUGCGAAGAAACAGAAAAAUCUUGUUAGCUGCAGUUCUAAAAAUUGCAAGUAUCCCACAGUCUGUGCCUUCAUCAGCAAAGAUUCUGCGUGUAUUUUAUUCAACAAAUGUGAAUUCACUUCUAAAAAUAACCAGUGCAGGUUUUCUACAAGCAUGGAGGGUCACCAAGGUUGAAACAAUCAGUCUUGGGCUUGCCCACUUUGAAUGGAAACAAAGUAUUUUCCCCAUCUGGGAGUUUUACUUUUUUUCUCCUUGGCUUCCUAUCUCCUUCCCAUAAGACUCAAAUACUAUUUCAGAAACAUGGAGUAAGAUGGAGCCCCUGCUCGGAUCUUAGUUUCUCUUCCUCUUUUUCCGAUAGCAGGACAUUUGCUUUGUCCUAAGAUGAACUUUGUCAUUUACUUCCACGGUAUGGUUUGACCUGGGAGAUCAUUUCAUCCCUACACUCUGAGAAAAGGAACCAUUGUUUUCAAGGUAAACUUAACCAACAGUUUCUCUCAGAAGUGUGGUAUUCUAUCAAAACACAAAUAUCAAACUAACUGUGAGAAGUAGCCCCAAACCGAAAAACGUUAGCCCAAAUGAGCCUUCCAAAAAGCCCAGAAAGACUUGCCUUUUGCAGCCUUGCCUUGUCUCCGCUGUUGUGAGGACAAUCCUGUUUUGAACACUAGAUGGCGAUAUGAACUCACUGAAUUUGGAACCCAACCAGCCCAUCUGUAAUUUCAAAGAGAAAAAAAGAUGAGGAUUUUCCUUAACUGAUUUGAUAGUCUGACACAUAGUGUUAAGGAAGUGAAUUUAUAUGAUGUAACAGCUAUUUCAUUAAGUUUCAGUGAAAAAGAAAGCAUCCUCGUCUGGCAGGCAAACGUGCCUGCUUCUAAAACGUGAGCCAGGGAAAUAGGGAGGCAGAGUACAGUUAGAGGAAAGGGGAAAAGCAGACAGGCUUGCUGGCCGAUUUGACUGCUUCUUGACUGACUUAAAUAUUUUCUUGACUACCUGACAGUCAAAAUGGUGAAGGCAGUUUGUUUGUGUCAACAUAGGGUUAUUUUGUGCACCGACUGCAGCCUGUAUGUCUAUAUUGCUAGAGUUUGUCUGCCUCUUUUGUAGCCUAGCUAUUUGGCCAAGGUGGUUAGGGACGUCUACCACUGAGACCCCAGUCAUCUUGGCCACGGACCAUUUCCUCAGCUCUGGCCAGUCGUUUCACAAAUGCUUGAUCUACAGACACUCCUGCACAUGGAAGUCCAGAUGAUCAGAAAAGCCACCUCACUGCAGGAAGAAAAAAAAAAAAAAGCCACCUCUUGGGGCUUACCUAUCCCAUGAAUGGCAGAUCCCUAGUGUCACUUCUUUCAAAAGACUCAAGUAAAUGCUUCUAAAAGUCAACUCUCUUGAUGAGCAUAUGUUCCUCAACCCUUGAACCAGGUAUAUUAUGCACACAGCUGCUUCAAACUGAAAGGGAAUGGAGGGAGAACUAGCUGGAAUCCCAGCGACCCACAAUGUUGUUACAAAGACCAACAGGCAAACAAAUAUUGUAUAGUGCAUUAAAUAUAGUAGGGGAGAGUUUUACUUCCAAACUGCCAAGGAAGUGAAUAAGAGUUGAAGCUCAGGCCAGUCACUAAGUUCAGACACAAGCAAUGACAUGAAUUCAACUACAAGAUGUGGUCAAAGGCAUUCCAGAGGAUAAAGUAACUCUGUAUGAAAACAACAAUUUUCAGAGUGGGUGUUUGAGAACACCUGUCCAUAUACCAGGAAUGUGGUCUAUGUGGUGGCAGGUGCUACUAGUUAAGUGGAUGAGAUAGGCAGUCAAAAGGCAACCAGAGGUUUUCCGUAAUCUAAAACUUCAUAAAACCCAAAGUCGGUGGGUUCUCAGUAACAAAACAACUGGGAGAAAUGAGCAAAUGUGUAGUCUCUGGCCCAGAAAUUCCGAGCAGUCUCGGGAGGCGCAGCCCUCCCAGAGGGUGGGGCAUGAAUCCCCCCUUCCACUGUGCCUUGUACAUGCUGGACCUCCUUCCAAACCUUAGAGUGUGGACGCCUAGGAGUUAAGCAUGGAAAAUUCAGGGUUAGCAGUGACAGUGACAGGUCAUGUCAAUGGCACUUUUUCAUUACAGCCUUUCCCCUCAAACAUGUAACAUACAUGAUUUAUAUCAUACAAAUUCCUCCGGAAGUUCCGUGUAGAAAAUACCAGGACUCCUCACAUUUGUAGUGGACACCUAAAGCUUUUACUACCAAGAGGAUUCUCAGACAUCUUGACAGAGACACGGCAUGUCUUGGAUAGGAUCCAGGAACAGAAAAGCAAAAGCAACAACAAAACCAACCUGAAUGAAGCAUGAGUUUGAUUGGGUAAUGCAGCAAUAUCUAUUCAUUGGUUAUGAUAAGCAAUGAGAGGCACCAUUAGACACGGGAUAGAUGUAAACCUCCUGCAUUCUCUUUGCAAUUGUGUUCUUGUAAAGAUAAAGAGCCCUCAUCCAGUGGCUGAUGGAAGCAGAGACAGACAUCCACAGAUAUACGCUGAGCUGAAAUCGGGAAUUUAGUUGAAGAGAGUGAAGAAUGAAGAGCAAAGGGGUCUGUACCAGGUUGGAGAAACCCACAGGAACAGUUGACCUGAACAAGGGAGAGCACAUCGACCCCAGAUGCUGUCUGGGAGGCCAGUACAGUACUAAUCCAGACCCCUGAACAUGGAUGUCAAUAAGAAGGCCUCUGCAUUCCAGGGAGCCUCUGAGGCAGAAAUGUCCUUGGAACAGGGAACACACCUCUCAGGUAGGUCUGAGCUUCUGAACUCUGAGUUGUUCCUCAGCUCCCUGCAGAACCUGCAGAUCCUAGGUUUGGCAUGAAGAGUAUGGUAUAGGACUUGGUUUGGCCAAUGCAUACGAAAGUGUCUGAGAACUUUGGAAACGAGUGGCAAGAGCAUGGAGACCAGCUUGAAGAGGCUCUCAAUGGUCACAAGAAGCUAAGGAUAACCUGGAAACAUGAAGUUACAAUGGACAGUAACCCACCCAAUAAGAACCCACAGACUCACCCAGGCAUUCAUUAAUCAAACAGAACAAUUGCUGAUGAACAGAAUAGUUAGAUUCUCAAAUCGUGACCACACAAAAAUCACCAUGCAUUAGAGAGGGCUGCAAUUUACUUCUUGUUUCAUUUCAUGUCAUCAGAGUCAUCAUCACUGGUGACUCACAAGACAAAUUGAUAUUAUGAGUCCUGGUGGGAUGUAGUAAGAAGAAACCCCCGUGUCAUCUCUCCACAUUCUUGGCAAAUAUCUGAAGCUGGAAGCUAAUUGUGUUGAGGACCCGAUGCAGCCCUCCCUCUGCUCACUUCCCAGUGUAGGCUGCUCCCGUCGGAGCCAGCCACUGGAAUGGAUCCACCUAAACAUCAGUUGCUUAGUCUGAGAACACCAUCACUUUGGUCUCUUGGCUCCUCCAAGAGAGGGGAUGUUCUAUUGCCCUAUAUUAUUAUUAAGUUAAAUCAUGUCCAUUUUACUUUUAGUUUUAUCAGAUGGUGACAGGUUUAUGGUAGGUAUUUUACAAAAUAUAGAAAGCACCACUCAGAAUUAAUGGUUGCUUUGUAAUACCUAAGUGCUUCUAGUAUUUUCUGUUUUGUUCUGAGUGGGUGGACAGAUGCCGUGAAUGGAAUCGUAAUUUGCAUGUGUUACUUCAUAAUCUUUUUUCUUAUCACACAUUUUCGUCAACUGGAGUUCUGGGUAAGAAGCAUCACCUACACUGAACAUUUUUGCAGAGUGACUGAAUGAUAAGAACUUCAGUGCUUGUGGAGAGGAUGGAAUGUUGCAGAUCCAGAGUCCAAACUCUCUUACAAUCUUAGCCCUUUAAAUAACCAUUUAUUACACACCUUGGUAUGUGCCCCAACAUGCUUAUGACCAUGAAGCAAAUCCUUUUAGACUGUAUGAACAGGCCCCUACCUUCCACCAACCCAAAAGCUAAGAAUGCCACCACACAGCAGCUGAAGCCUACAGCAGAGAUUUCUCCACUCUGUCCAAAACUGCCUACACUUGAUAUACCCAGCAAUAUAUUAAAGGGGUAUUGUUUCAUGACUUCCUUAUGCUGUUAUCACAAAAAUGUAAGAAAUUGCUACUUCAUUGGAACACAGUGUUUGGGAUGAAUCAAAACCUCGGCUGUGGUCACUCAUAUUUGGCCCCAGAAGAAAUUACAGUGAGAACUGUGGCUUUUCAGUGACAUUUCUUACACUUGGGUUGUAAUGAACAUUGAGUUGCUGCAUUGUUUUAAUGUCUGUAUGCUACUGCCUGUAUUAAUUGCUACAACCAACCUCCAAUUUUUGAACGUUAAAUGCCCUAUUUGUAAAAUUCAAUCUUAAUGUUCACAAUGGCUUCCUCAUAAGACACGACUUCUGUAACAAAAAGAAAUAUAUUUGUAAGAUCAUAAUUCUUACCACUACAGGGCCCUCUGGAGGAGUCUUAGCAAUUCUCAUUCUCUCCAGGAUACCACAGUAGAGAUUUCCCUCACCCCCCACCCCCAGUGCUGUAUAAGCUAUCAUAAUUUUUUAGAUGUUUUCAUUUUAUUUUUAUUUCUUCUAAUAAUUGUUGAUGAUAUGAGCUCAAGCAUUUUAAUUCAUUCCCUAAGAACUUGUUUAUAACUGAAUUCUUUAGAAAACCAUCUCUUAAAACCUGAUGUUUGUUUUCUGAGUUCAUUACAAUCCUAAUUAAGUAUUUCAGCUUUCUCCAUCAAUGCCUCAGCACAGCCAUCUAAGAAACUCUCUCCUGCCCUCAAGCAGGUGAUGCAAUAUGGUAGGUGAUGGUCUGAUGCAGGUGAAAGGAUUUCAGGACAUUUGACUGUGAAUCAAAGCCUGGUUUUAAAUGAGAAUUCCAAGGAAGGCAUGUUUCUCCCUAGACAGUGAGAAGUAUAGGAAUGGAAAAAAGGGAGCAUUUAAGCUCAGAUAAAAGAAGAAAUGGGAGCUUUGCUGGGUGGGAAAGACAUCAGAGAUAAGAGAAAACUGUGAUCAUCAGACACAUGAAGCCAUGGGAUUGGAUGAGGUGCUUACUAAAGUACAGAAGCCUGCAGGGACCAGAAUGUGAGAUUCGAGCCUGGUUCAACACACACACACACACACACACACACACACACA